rnacentral:rRNA from 1 species
UCCAGAGGGGGCAAGCGUUGUUCGGAAUUACUGGGCGUAAAGGGCGCGUAGGCGGCCUUCUAAGUCGAACGUGAAAUCCCCGGGCUCAACCCGGGAACUGCGUCCGAUACUGGGAGGCUUGAAUCCGGGAGAGGGAUGUGGAAUUCCAGGUGUAGCGGUGAAAUGCGUAGAUAUCUGGAGGAACACCGGUGGCGAAGGCGGCAUCCUGGACCGGUAUUGACGCUGAGGCGCGAAAGCUAGGGGAGCAAACGGG